ACACUCCUGCGGGAGGCAGCAGUGGGGAAUUUUGGACAAUGGGGGCAACCCUGAUCCAGCAAUGCCGCGUGAGUGAAGAAGGCCUUCGGGUUGUAAAGCUCUUUUGUCAGGGAAGAAACGGUGGUGGCGAAUAACUACUACUAAUGACGGUACCUGAAGAAUAAGCACCGGCUAACUACGUGCCAGCAGCCGCGGUAAUACGUAGGGUGCAAGCGUUAAUCGGAAUUACUGGGCGUAAAGCGUGCGCAGGCGGUUGUGUAAGUCAGAUGUGAAAUCCCCGGGCUCAACCUGGGAAUUGCAUUUGAGACUGCACGGCUAGAGUGUGUCAGAGGGGGGUAGAAUUCCACGUGUAGCAGUGAAAUGCGUAGAUAUGUGGAGGAAUACCGAUGGCGAAGGCAGCCCCUGGGAUAACACUGACGCUCAUGCACGAAAGCGUGGGGAGCAAACAGGAUUAGAUACCCCAGUAGUCCCAU
rnacentral:rRNA from 1 species